rnacentral:rRNA from 1 species
CCUACGGGCGGCAGCAGUGGGGAAUAUUGGACAAUGGGGGCAACCCUGAUCCAGCCAUGCCGCGUGUGUGAAGAAGGCCCUCGGGUUGUAAAGCACUUUCAGUGAGGAAGAACGCCUGGUGGUUAAUACCCAUCAGGAAAGACAUCACUCACAGAAGAAGCACCGGCUAACUCCGUGCCAGCAGCCGCGGUAAUACGGAGGGUGCGAGCGUUAAUCGGAAUUACUGGGCGUAAAGCGCGCGUAGGUGGCUUGAUAAGUCGGUUGUGAAAGCCCCGGGCUCAACCUGGGAACGGCAUCCGGAACUGUCAAGCUAGAGUGCAGGAGAGGAAGGUAGAAUUCCCGGUGUAGCGGUGAAAUGCGUAGAGAUCGGGAGGAAUACCAGUGGCGAAGGCGGCCUUCUGGACUGACACUGACACUGAGGUGCGAAAGCGUGGGUAGCAAACAGGAUUAGAUACCCGAGUAGUC